AUUGAACGCUGGCGGCAUGCUUUACACAUGCAAGUCGAACGGUAACAGGGUGCUUGCACCGCUGACGAGUGGCGAACGGGUGAGUAACGCGUCGGAACGUGCCGAGUAGUGGGGGAUAACGCAGCGAAAGUUGUGCUAAUACCGCAUACGUACUGAGGUAGAAAGUGGGGGACCUUCGGGCCUCACGCUAUUCGAGCGGCCGACGUCUGAUUAGCUAGUAGGUGAGGUAAAGGCUCACCUACGCGACGAUCAGUAGCGGGCCUGAGAGGAUGGUCCGCCAACCUGGGACUGAGACACGGCCCAGACUCCUACGGGAGGCAGCAGGGGGGAAUUUUGGACAAUGGGCGAAAGCCUGAUCCAGCAAUGCCGCGUGUGUGAAGAAGGCCUUCGGGUUGUAAAGCAUUUUUGUCCGGAAAGAAAUGGCUCUGGUUAAUACCUGGGGUCGAUGACGGUACCGGAAGAAUAAGGACCGGCUAACUACGUGCCAGCAGCCGCCGUAA
rnacentral:rRNA from 1 species